AACCAAGUUACGUUUACUAGUUACUUCGCUUGUUACUAUUGCUAUUUUAUUUAAACAUUUACAAACCCUUAGAAUUAAUAAACACUAGAUUUAAUUGUUCCCUAGCUCCUUGUGGAUUCGAUCCCUAAGUACUACAUCUGAACCUCUUUUGAUGAGAGUAACACUCCUUAGGGUAAUUUGAGUGGUAUCAGCAACCAAAUUCACCUAGUCAACAACUCAACAGAUCCUGUCUGACAAUCCCCUCUACUAACCUCAUUUCUUGCAUAAAAUAAAAGUACAGACUUUACCUUGGGAGUAUCGAUAAAGGAACACAUGGACUCAACUCAAGCAAGUAGGUAGUUUCAUCUGAUUCCUUUCUUCUCCCUACUCUCUUCUCUGAAUCUCUUUAUUAGUUUCAAUCCCAAUGAAUUUCGAUGUUGAUUAGACAUCUAGUUCAUCUUAUUGACAUGAUGCUCUUUUCUUUCUUUUUUUUUUCUUUCUUUUUUUUUUUCUUUGGACAAAGUGUAGCGAAUAAUGGGGUCAUAGGAGACACUCCUACCCCUCGUUUCCACAAUGUGUGAUCAUUCCCUUCAGACUUAGAAUAAUGGGGUCACAGGGGACACUCCUACCCAGCUGCCUCUUCCAGGAAAUCAUUUCAAUCUUUUCUUUAUAUCUUUGAGAUGCCGAAGAGAGAGAAGGAAGGGAACCAGUAACACAUAUGAGCGUUUACCUUUCAGACUUGCAGGAGGAUUCCGAUCCCUUGUAUACCAAGCCCCAAGACAAGCAAAUCAUGUCAAAUUAGGUUGGAGGUCAGCUUUGGUUCCUUCAAACACUCUCAGUAAGUGCAAACAUAGUUGAAAGGUUGAUCCACUUUAGUAUCUCUAGUAAUUCUGCAGUCAAUAUAUCUAAGACUGGUCUAAAGAGUGGUUAGAUGACAAGUAAUAAAUCGAAAUAGAUCAUCAUCUCCUUCUUGACUCAAAAUUUUUUUAAAAAAAAUAUUUUAAAUAAGACUCAUAAAGGUAGAUAAACAUUAGUAACUCCCCCAGACUUAAAUUACACUGUCCCCAGUGUAACACAGUCGGUGGUAAGGUGAAAAUCAUAAAGCAGAAGUACGAAAUUUAACAAGUAAGAACGAUAUACCUGACCAGAAUGGAUGUCGAUCGAUGUAAACGUGUUGUCAUCGGUCGUGGCAGAUGAAGCAAUGUCGAUCGAUAUCGACUUGUUCUCGUCGGUCGAUAUCAUGGCAAUCGUUUACUUGGGUCCCUAUUCUAUACAUCUAACUAAAACCUAAUAUUAAUAUAACCUCCCCCAGACUUAAA
rnacentral:lncRNA from 1 species